AAAUACAAUGAAGAGAUUUCUCCAGAAAAAGAGACAUCCAUAAAAAUUAAUUCACAAGUUCUUCUUUUAAACAUUCUCCAGUAUGUCCCAAAACUAAAAACAUUAACAAGAAUGGAGGUAAAACUGUACAGAAUCAUUUUCUACUGUUUUCUACUUGAUUUGAAAGUUAGGAAAUCAUUUACACUGCUUCUACAACCAUCACCAACUGUAUCACUUUUAUGACCACUACUGCAUUAUGCAACCACUAGUACUAGUAGCAUCUCCAUGUUGUUACCAGCGCUAUCUCUCCUAUAAUGCUACUGCCUUGCAGCACUACCGCCUUGCCAUUACUACCACCACUAUCGGCACCUCAAUUCUCUCACUGGUUGUCUUGAUAGCUUCCAGCAUAAUAUAUUUAUGCUUUGCAACAUUAAUGCUGCUAUUCUGUAAAACUCUGAUGCUUCUAAUUUAAUAAAGCACUAUACAACUAUUCUAAUCAAAACCACCACCAAAUUGCUACCACACCAAUAAAUUUGAUGUAUCAGUGGGGUUGAGACUGACCUAACAUGGAAUCAUUAUGCCAUCUAGGGUUUAUACUGAUGUGUCAGGCUCUUGAUAGCUUCUGUUAGAUGGUCAGUGGACACAGUAUAGACUUAUUUCUCCAGAAGAGCUGGAUGUACUAGUACUGUAUAGAAGUUUCAAAGUGGGACUUAUGGUAUGUCACUUUUAGCUAGCAUGGAGGCACGCAUUAUUGGCUGUGUAACGACUCCGUGCAUGAUGCUAUUGAUAACUUCUGACAUGUAAUAGGUGGACCUUGCCUAUUUGUAUAAGCCUCGGUUGUUUUGAAUUAGUGGAGAUGAAUUUAUACUGUCUUCUACUUGGCAUAGCUGUCAAAAAAACACAGGUACAUAAGAAAAAAGAAUAAACCACAAAGAAAUUAUGAAAAAGCAUAUUGAAUAUCGUGUAAUAUUUACUGACCAAUGUUCUUCUGAGUGUUCUCUCAUCCAUGGGUCCUUAGAAUCUUAGAUUCUUCAAUAAUAGGCUGCUGAUUCAAUCGACACAUAGGUAGCUUGAAGUCAUAGAUAGAUCAAAAACUUUAAUGAUUGUCCAAUGGGGAGGGGAAGAGAACAUAUAGUUACUGCCUAUCUGUCCUGUUCUUAUUGGUCCUUGUUUCACAUACUAGAUCAUAUAUUUUUUUAGUAGCUGUACAUCAAUUUUGAAUGAGCUUAUAGUCAAAUAAAAAGGAGAAAGAAAAAGGAGAAUACCUGACUUUUGUUGUCUUCAGCAGGAUAUGCUGCAUGUGGAUGUAGCUAUGGCAUGGAUCUUCAACUUCUAAGUGUCAAUAUGAUCG
rnacentral:lncRNA from 1 species